GGCAAGCCCCGGGGGAGCCUACCAUGGCUGAGAAAGUACGUUUAGCGUACUGACCCCUUGAACCUGGCCGGCGGGAAACCGCUGAGCGUACUGGGUAAUUCCAGCGUAGGGAGGGGCGGUGAUUUAAAA
rnacentral:ncRNA from 1 species